CCUACGGGGUGCAGCAGUGGGGAAUAUUGGACAAUGGGCGAAAGCCUGAUCCAGCCAUGCCGCGUGUGUGAAGAAGGCCUUCGGGUUGUAAAGCACUUUCAGUGGGGAAGAAAGCCUUGGGGCUAAUACCCUCGAGGAAGGACAUCACCCACAGAAGAAGCACCGGCUAACUCCGUGCCAGCAGCCGCGGUAAUACGGAGGGUGCGGGCGUUAAUCGGAAUUACUGGGCGUAAAGCGCGCGUAGGCGGUCUGAUAAGCCGGUUGUGAAAGCCCCGGGCUCAACCUGGGAACGGCAUCCGGAACUGUCAGGCUAGAGUGCAGGAGAGGAAGGUAGAAUUCCCGGUGUAGCGGUGAAAUGCGUAGAGAUCGGGAGGAAUACCAGUGGCGAAGGCGGCCUUCUGGACUGACACUGACGCUGAGGUGCGAAAGCGUGGGUAGCAAACAGGAUUAGAUACCCCGGUAGUC
rnacentral:rRNA from 1 species